GAUAAGAACCCUGCUCCCGCCGCCCUCCUCGCCUUCACUACUUUCUGUGCCUCGUACACGUGCUUACGAUACCUACCGGCGACGCGAAGUGGUGAGGGAAGGCGUAAUAUAGGUUAGCCUAAUGCCACACGCAUCACCGUCUUUCAGUAGCGCAGGGGCGAAAAGAAAAAGCUUCCGCGGAACCCGACGCGCAGUCAUUCCACUCGAAGACACCAACGUAUGCGGUGAGAUCCUCCCAGCAAGCCGAGUGGAGUCGUCGCAACCUGUGUGCUCUGGACCGGAUAGCGCCAGUGAAGCGCGGCGGCAAACCUUCGGCGACUGUAGAUUCCGUGGUAGUGGCCUUCUGUUGACUCUUCAUCUCGCCCCGGAACGCAAUGGUCUGGAACAAGUACCUCAUCCUUUUUUUCAUCCUUCUACUCUUGCUGAUGUUGGUGCACUUUGCGGAGCCUCAUCACCACCACCACUUGUGGUACUUCAAGCAUAAGCUUAAGAAGCUGCUCGUCCUUAAACACCUGAAGAAACUUCACUUUCUGCACCACCACGGUUAGCCCGUUCCUCAAGGACACCAAGGCAUGUGAAAAGCUUCGUCACGACCUUCAUUUCAUCACCAACGACGUCCGCUACCAUGGUGCCAACCGUGGACAGACCGCGGCAAGCGGACCUUCAUUACCUUCCUAAGGAAUUUGUAAAUCAUGGCUCUUUCAUAACAAACCACACACCUUCCCCUUGAAUAAAUAUUGCUCACCCAGUACACAAA